rnacentral:rRNA from 1 species
UACGAAGGGGGCUAGCGUUGCUCGGAAUCACUGGGCGUAAAGGGUGCGUAGGCGGGUCUUUAAGUCAGGGGUGAAAUCCUGGAGCUCAACUCCAGAACUGCCUUUGAUACUGAAGAUCUUGAGUUCGGGAGAGGUGAGUGGAACUGCGAGUGUAGAGGUGAAAUUCGUAGAUAUUCGCAAGAACACCAGUGGCGAAGGCGGCUCACUGGCCCGGUACUGACGCUGAGGUGGCGAAAGCGUG